rnacentral:rRNA from 1 species
GAUGAACGCUGGCGGCGUGCCUAAUACAUGCAAGUCGAACGGAGAAAGUAGCAAUACUUUCUUAGUGGCGAACGGGUGAGUAACGCGUUGGUGACCUGCCCCGAAGUGGGGGAUAACAAUUCGAAAGAGUUGCUAAUACCCCAUGUGAUCAAUCGGUUUAGAAGCGAUUGAUUAAAGGAUUUAUUCGCUUCGGGAGGGGCCUGCGUCCCAUCAGCUAGUUGGUAGGGUAAUGGCCUACCAAGGCUAAGACGGGUAGGGGGCCUGAGAGGGUGACCCCCCACACUGACACUGAAACACGGGUCAGACACCUACGGGUGGCAG